GUCUCCAAUUAUUAGAUAUAUUGAUUCAACUGCUAGGUGCCAAACCUAAUUACACCUUUCAUCUUUGAAACCUUCAUAAACAGUUUUGUAGAAAAUACUCCUUAUAAUCACAUAUAUCAAAACGAAAGCAAAGAGGGCACCCAUACAGAUGCUAUCUUCAUUUCAUAUGCAAAUUUGUUUUGAAAAAUCACUUUAAAACAGAUAUCCCCUUUGAACCCCAAAAAUGCAAAAUAAAUGUAAAAGUAUGAACUGACACUAUUAUUUUAUGAUAAGAACCACACAGUUUGAGUCUUGUAUACACUUAAACUGUAAAUUUGGCAUUAUCUGUACACUGUUCGUCCCUCAACAACACUUAUUUUGCAUAAGAUUGGAGUUUGACAUCACAGAUUUAACCCACAUCUAGAUCUGUAUUUUAAGAAUAAAAUAUAUUCAAAGCUCCUCCCCUGUCCAGACUGAUGAAAUAAGAGAAUAUUAAUAUUGGUCAGUUGUAUAAAAUCAAUAUUAAACACAACUCUCACUAUGAAAGUACUAUUUGUUAUUCAUAUUUAAAAAGAAAUUCAUGGCAUUGUGAUAUUAUCUUGAAAAUUAAAACUAUGCAAUAGAAAAU
rnacentral:lncRNA from 1 species